UCCAAAACGAGUUUAAGGCCAGCCUGAACUGCAUAGCAAGACUCUGUCUCCAAAAGAUAAAAAACAAACAGACAAACACAAAUGCAGAGGCUUCUUAAAAAGCUGCCCAGAUGCAUCCAGAGGCUGGUCAGCCCUGCCUGAGCCCAGCAUAUGGUUUUCUAGCACAAACCCCGUGACACCUGCUGGCCAAGCACCUCAGGCAGGGAAGGGAGCCAUGAGAACACUGUAGCGUCACAGGGGUAAAAGGUGGCCUGAAGGGGUUCAGACCCGG
rnacentral:lncRNA from 1 species